GUGCUCUCUUUGGCAGCACACACACUAAAAUUAGAAAGAUAUAAAGAAGAUUUUCAUGGCCCCUGUGUAAAGAUGACAUACAAAUUCAGGAAGUAGCCCAUAUAUUU
ensembl:snRNA U6 U6 spliceosomal RNA